rnacentral:rRNA from 1 species
GGGCCGAUAGUGAGGAGACGUGUAUAACGAAGUACGUGUAAAGAACGUGCUAAUAACUGGAGGUCAAGUCUGGUGCCAGCAUCCGCGGUAAUUCCAGCUCCAGGGGUGUCUAUGAUGAUUGCUGCGAUUAAAAAGUCCGUAGUCAAUCUGACUGACUGACCUGCAAUGUGAUUGAUUAAAGAACGAGCAGGGUUAGGAAAGCAGAGAAUUAGGAGCGACCGAGGGCUAGAGUAUUGAAUGGCGAGAGGUGAAAUUUGAUGACCCAUUCAGGAGUGACAAAGGCGAAGGCACUAGUCAAGGGCGAAUCCGAUGAUCAAGGACGUAGGCUAGAGUUUCGAAAACGAUUAGAGACCGGAGUAGUUCUAGCAGUAAACUAUGCCGACGCCGUGGUAUCAACAAUGGUAUUGCGGAAGAGAAAUCAAGUAAGGCUUUGGGGAGAGUACGCGCGCAAGCGAUAAAUUUAAAGGAAAUUGACGGAGGAACACCACAAGGAGUGGAGUGUGCGGCUUAAUUUGACUCAACGCGGGACAGCUUACCAGGCCCGAUAAUCGAGCGAGCGUAGUACGCGAUAGGUUAAAGAGUGGUGCAUGGCUGCUAUCGACAGUUGGGGUGACCUUAGGGUUAAUUCCGGCAAGUAGUGAGACCCCUGCAGAUAGUGGACAGGUAUUUUUAAAAUACAGGAAGGAAGGGACAAGAGCAGGUCAGUGAUGCCCUUAGAUGGCCUGGGCUGCACGCGCACUACAGUGGUCAUUAUAAGUAGAAGUUAGAUAUAAAGAUGAUCGAGAGGGACUGAGCUUUGUAAGAGGCUCACGAACGAGGAAUUGCUAGUAAUCGUAGGCUCAUUAAGAUACGAUGAAUAUGUCCCUGUACCUUGUACACACCGCCCGUCGUUAUCGAAGAUGGAAUUGUGUGCGAACGAGCAACAAGCGA